rnacentral:rRNA from 1 species
CCUACGGGGCGCAGCAGUGAGGAAUAUUGGUCAAUGGUCGGGAGACUGAACCAGCCAAGCCGCGUGAGGGAGGAAGGUACAGAGUAUCGUAAACCUCUUUUGUCAGGGAACAAAGGCGGGGACGUGUCCCCGGAUGAGUGUACCUGAAGAAAAAGCAUCGGCUAACUCGGUGCCAGCAGCCGCGGUAAUAUGGAGGAUGCGAGCGUUAUCCGGAUUUAUUGGGUUUAAAGGGUGCGCAGGCGGUCUGUUAAGUCAGCGGUAAAAGCCCGGGGCUCAACCCCGGCCCGCCGUUGAAACUGGCAGUCUCGAGUUGGAGAGAAGGAUGCGGAAUGCGCGGUGUAGCGGUGAAAUGCAUAGAUAUCGCGCAGAACUCCGAUUGCGAAGGCAGCAUGCCGGCUCCACACUGACGCUGAGGCACGAAAGCGUGGGUAUCGAACAGGAUUAGAUACCCGGGUAGUC